CCAUCAUAACAAUGCACAACGCCAUAACAACCUCGGGGUGAUGGUGAAGGGGAUGGCAACGAGGUAGAUGCGGCGAGGACAUGGAAGUAGGUGAAACUGCUCCUGUAUCAGAUUCGGAUGCACUCAGAAGAUUCCGAUCCCUUACUGAUCAUCGAUCCCCCAACGCCCCCACGCUCUGAAGAAUGGCGUAGCUCUCUCUCUCUCUCUCUCUCUCUCUCUCUCUCAGCUCUCAAAGCUUCUCCGUCGUUUCUAUCUUUCCUCCCUGCUUGCACAAACAUUACUGAAUGGAACCCAGUUCCGUGAGCCUCGUAGUACACCGCCAAACUCUUCAUCCAGCGGCUGUUCGCUGAUUUCGUGAUGCUGUUGCUGCAAUGUCAUGGACACCGACACCAGCUGACCGGAGACACCCAGUUUCUACAUGGAUCUGCCGGGUUGUUAGCGCCAGAGUCAAUGUGCAGUGAUCGGCAAACAAAAUUGCAAGGUGCACCAGAUAGCCAAUGCUUAAUCUCCGUGGGCAUCUGGAAUAGAUUUGAGGGGUUGGUUGUUUCCCCGCUACUACAGAAGUCUAUCCUCGCUCCAGGCUUACAACAUAGAACCAUUACUUCGAAGUUGGGAGAGAUCGGUUGUUCCUGAAAUGUUCGCGCUAUUGGACACACCCGUAGUAAAAGGUGCCUGGAUCACCAGAACCGGACGUUUAGUACAGCGCAAUACUGUCAACGCAUGGGGGAUGCAUUUUGGCUUGCAAGAAUUGGGCAGAGAAGGGUCGAUUUAUGAGCUAAUUGAGGAGGAUAGUAAGCUUAAGUGACAAAGCUACAGGGAUCACAUCCACACUGUAUGACGCGCAAUCAGCGAUAGUCGAUAUACACGCACCCGCGGUAGCAAAUCUAGAGGCACUGUCGUCACUGGAAUCCGCAAACGUGUGGUCAGAAGUCACGGCGCAUGUGGUGAACGGCAACAUGGAGAAAGCGCGAGAGGCGAAGCGGCGAGUAGAGGAUGCGCAGCGCGUGGAGAGAGAUGGCAGGGUCUCCGGCGACGAUCUGUGGAGCCCCAAGCACUUUGUUGCGACCCAGUCCAGGUCCUGGGAGUGGCGCCACGCCGGCGCGCCCGUCCCUCCGGCGCCGCUUGUUGUGCUCACAUAUCAUCCAUCCGCUCGCCUCAACAUCAUUCAUCAAACUUCUCGUCAUCCUGAUGCAUAAGUCUCGACGCCGAAACUGGGACGGGGAGCGAGAGUCUUCCGGGAAUUCUUUACUUUCUGUUGUAGUAGUAACUUGGUGAGUAGUAAGUGGUAAGUAGAAACUUGGGGAGUAGUAAGCUUUGCCACCAAGGCUUGCUUUCUUGCUUAUUUCACAGCUAUUUUUUAGAUUUCUUAUUCAAUAAUAGUGCACUUUGUAAUCACAGCUCGUAUGAAUCCAAAAUCGUUUUUUUGAAUUUUCA